AUUAAUUUACAAGUAAUUAACAUGCUAAAACAUUUUAUAAUUCGCUUCAAUAACGUGUAUAGAUAACACAAAAAUUAACUCUGGCCUACCUUAGGCUACAUGAUCACAGACAAGCUGAUGUAAUUAAAAUGAGAAGAUUUAUUUCUUGGUACUUUCAUGGCUUUAUUUUUACAUUAAAGUCUUUUAUGAUGUAUUAUUUAUUGCUAUCUUCCACCAAAUGCUUGGCCAGUCAAUCCCAGGGUGAUCUUAAUAAUAACUAAUACAUGUAAACCAUAAACAUUUAUGAAAAUUAUAUAUCCUCAUAUAAAUUUCAUAAUAACAUAUGUAAGUUACAAAAGAAAGAAAAAGUCAACGAGGAUAUGGGGGAAGCCAAAAGGAAUACAGACUAACAAAUGCACCUCACUAUGUACAAAUUAUGCAAAUCACAUAAUUUGUAGGAGGAGGUGGAAAGAAAGAAAAGAACUCAUCUAGGCAACUUUUGAAACCAGUACUUAGAUGCUACAGGUCAAACACAAAAACAACAGUACACGAUUAAGGAAGUAAGGUGCCUACAUAGUGACUGCGCCUCCCGGGGGCACAGGUUGAACAGUUCACCUACAGCACUGACAUGGCCUAAGCGAAUGUCCUGUCAAUCUGAGAGCCAGGUUUCUCCCUGUCACAGGAAGAAACUACACAUAAGGAAGGGGGCAGAAGCAACAAGCACAGCCAGUGCCCAGGUCUUGGUUGCUAAAUCCCAGUCUCCAGUGAGGGAGGGCUCCCUGGAGAAGCAGCUGGGUGCAGAGCUG
rnacentral:lncRNA from 1 species